AGUCGAACGCUUCUUUUUCCACCGGAGCUUGCUCCACCGGAAAAAGAGGAGUGGCGAACGGGUGAGUAACACGUGGGUAACCUGCCCAUCAGAAGGGGAUAACACUUGGAAACAGGUGCUAAUACCGUAUAACAAUCAAAACCGCAUGGUUUUGAUUUGAAAGGCGCUUUCGGGUGUCGCUGAUGGAUGGACCCGCGGUGCAUUAGCUAGUUGGUGAGGUAACGGCUCACCAAGGCCACGAUGCAUAGCCGACCUGAGAGGGUGAUCGGCCACAUUGGGACUGAGACACGGCCCAAACUCCUACGGGAGGCAGCAGUAGGGAAUCUUCGGCAAUGGACGAAAGUCUGACCGAGCAACGCCGCGUGAGUGAAGAAGGUUUUCGGAUCGUAAAACUCUGUUGUUAGAGAAGAACAAGGAUGAGAGUAACUGUUCAUCCCUUGACGGUAUCUAACCAGAAAGCCACGGCUAACUACGUGCCAGCAGCCGCGGUAAUACGUAGGUGGCAAGCGUUGUCCGGAUUUAUUGGGCGUAAAGCGAGCGCAGGCGGUUUCUUAAGUCUGAUGUGAAAGCCCCCGGCUCAAUCGGGGAGGGUCAUUGGAAACUGGGAGACUUGAGUGCAGAAGAGGAGAGUGGAAUUCCAUGUGUAGCGGUGAAAUGCGUAGAUAUAUGGAGGAACACCAGUGGCGAA
rnacentral:rRNA from 1 species